AAGCAAUACUAGACACAAAUGAUUAAUGCUUCUUGUCGUUGACAAGUCCUCUUUCAUAAUUAUAUCAUCACUAAUUCUUUACCACAUUACACAUCAUACAUCUGCAAUUUACAACAAUUUUGAGAACAAGAGGGACCUUAGAAUACCAGCCAUAGUCAUCAAAGUUGCUCUGAUUAUUGCGCAUGAUUGGCUCACAAUCUACAUGUUCUAGGGCAUCAAAAGCUUCAAUCUUUUCUCUUUUCCUACAUUUUCAUAACCCCAACAACAUUGCUCAUUGGUCAGUUUUCUUUCCAAAAAUUGUAUCUUUUCAUAACACUUUUAAUGGGUUUUGUUUUUCUUUUCCACACUGGUUCUGCCUCAGCUGAGAAUUCCGGGUUCUAUGUUUUUUCGAAGAUGAGUAUGUUGUUGUUUUGUGUAAGGCUUUCAUUGUUUCAUUUUUUGUUGGUUAUCCAUUUCUUUAAAUGAGUUUCUGAUGAUUUAUUUCAAUUUAUCUCUGUAACUAAUAAAAGCAUCUAGCUUGUGACAUGCUUCAGAUUUUUAAGCUGUUUGUGGUUCUUUUGCAUGUUCACUUUAACACUUGCUACAAAUUUGAUAAUAUUUUGUUUACUAAUCUGAUGUAUCAUUGUACUUGAAACCUUAUAUUUUAUGUCCUCUUCAUCAUGUGAUAUUUUCAGUAAUUUCUUGAGCUGGGUAAUGAAAGAAUUUGAUAAACAAUCUCUUAUGUACCCCUUUCUGUUAAUUUUUCUGUUGUUAUUAUCUGAAAACUUAUGGAGAUUCCAGUUCAGAAUAUUAUUUAUAUUUUAUUUAUUUUUCCAACUUGUGUUAUUUAUAUUAUGUACAUCAUGAAACCUAUACUCUUACACUAGUUUAGGUUUACUUCAUUGGGAUGAGUUUUACUUUGAGCUACCCUUUUUCUUAAGCUGGAUAAGUCACAAGUCUAUGCUUAACUCUGUAUAUGACACACUCUUUGAAGGACUUUCUCCACAUAUGCUGAGUUUUUUUGUUAAUCGAGAAGUCUUCUAUGUUUGAGCAUAGCAGGAAAUUGUGUUUUGAUAUGAUUAAUCGUAUCUGGUUAUUCAACCAUUUAUGUUUGGUAAGAUAGUAAGCUACAUUCACUGUGAUGCAGGCAAGCCGAUAGGGACAAAUGAAUCGGAGGAUUCCAUUGGAUUUAAGAACUCAUCACUCCGGAUCAACACAGUCGGAGGAGUCGGCCCUGGAUCUGGAAAAGAACUACUAUGGUCAUCCUAAUCCUUCUUCCAGUCAUUUGCCCUUGCAGCCUUUUGCAGCCGGUGCACAGCAUUCUGAGAUCAACACUGCCUACUUUUCUUGGCCUACGUUGAGUCGCUGGAAUGACGCAGCGGAGGAUAGGGCCAACUAUUUCGGAAACCUUCAAAAGGGAGUUCUACCCGAAACUUUGGGCCAAUUGCCUACAGGACAGCGAGCUACUACCUUGCUUGAAUUGAUGACUAUCAGGGCAUUUCAUAGCAAGAUCUUACGCCAAUUUAGUCUUGGCACUGCAAUUGGGUUUCGGAUUAGAAGAGGUGUUUUGACUGAUAUUCCAGCUAUUCUUGUCUUUGUUGCCCAUAAAGUUCACCGACAAUGGCUUAACCAUCUUCACUGCCUACCUGCUGCCCUUGAGGUGGGGAAUUUUAAUUCGUCUGGCUAUAUUGCAGGUUUCAACGUGGCUUUACUUGGUCUUGCCACACUUCUAUAUUGAUUUGUUGAUUGUUUACUUUUGUUGUUUUUUGAGGCUUAUCUUUGUAUUUAGUAUUUACAUAUAGAUAUAGAUCAUAUAUUGCCUGUAGGAUUUGGUUUAUAAAUUGGGGAAAAACUAUAGAAUUGUGGACAUGGGAAAUCAAAAUAAUGACUUUCUAAAAUUUUUUACAGUCACGAAUUAUUAAGGACUAUGUUUAGUCGUAAAUGAAUCUAUUGUUUAAGGAUACUGGUUUUCUUUAAUAAGUCUUGCACUUAGAUUUUUGGGAGCAUCCCUCUACAUGCUGAUAAGUCAGUAAACUGUGAAUUUCAGUUAUUAAUCUUUGGCCUAAAUUUGUUUUUUAACGAUAGAAUGAUUAUGAAAUUGUUAGGAUGAAAAAGACUUCACUCAUUUCCACAAACCUUACAACAAUGGUCCAUUUGUUUCUCUAACUUAUUGUAAUACAUGUUAAUGUAAAUCUCGUAGUUGCAUUAACAUAAAAAAAUUCUACGCUUUUUAUCUCUCAAAUGCUGAUAGAAUGUAGUCUAUAAAACUACAUCAUGUGAUUUUUUUGGCUUUUGAUAAGUUAGUUGGACAGGUUUUAUGGGUUAGUAUGAAAAAAACAGCUGCGUUAUAGCGAUAGCCUAACUACUUAUGAAGGGUUUAUUUUUCCUAAAAUUACCCUCCUCAAGCACCAAUUGAGCUAUAUUCUUUAAGAUCUAAAGGUUGUUAUUAUCUUCAAUGAAGCUUUCUAUUCAAUAAAGUUGAAGUCAUAUAUCUAUCAACAAAUAGUUGAGGCCAUUUCUUAAUUUAAUUAAACAGGGCCCCGGAGGUAUUUGGUGUGAUGUGGAUGUUGUGGAGUUCUCAUAUUAUGGUGCACCUGCCCAUACUCCUAAAGAACAAUUAUACACGGAGCUUGCUGAUGGCUUAAGAGGAAGUGAUUCAUCUAUCGGGUCUGGUUCUCAGGUUGCAAACCAAGAGACCUAUGGAACCCUGGGUGCUAUCGUUAAAAGCCGAACAGGAAAACAAGAAGUUGGUUUUCUAACAAAUCGACAUGUAGCUGUUGAUUUGGACUAUCCGAACCAGAAAAUGUUUCAUCCAUUACCACCCAGCCUUGGACCUGGUGUAUAUUUUGGCGCGGUUGAGAGAGCGACAUCUUUUAUUACUGAUGACCUUUGGUAUGGUAUUUUUGCAGGAAUAAACCCAGGUAAAGUAGUUUCAACUUGCAGACAGUCUUGAAAUUUCACCUUUGGUGGUCAAUAGGCAGAAGUCGUGUAAAGGGCUAUUUGUCAGUCUUAUAAUUUGGUCUCUAACUUCACAUCAUCAAUGUCAAAUAUGCAAAAUUAUAGCUAUUUAUUUAUGCUGCUGCUGUCUAGGAAUUAAUCAAGUGGAGUUUCUUUAUAAAAAUGUUUUGAGACAGAACAAAAGUAGAAGCAUCUGGAUAUAAUCAGCCACCUCUUGUUUUGUGGGUUUCCCAAAGGCUCAGUAUUCAAAGUUUGGAACCCAAAGUCUCAGGCCAGGGGUUUAGUUAGUAUGGCAUAACAGUUCAGUUAAAGAUCUUUCUCUUUAGAGCAUUAUUUUGGAAGGUGGAAUACUGUUAUUGAGGACAGAUAGAGUGUUGGAUUUUUUUGUAAACUAUUUCUGCCGAGUAGUUGUCCCAAAAGCUAAAGCUCUUAGAUGAGGGCACAUGAUUAGUUUUAUAUGUCUAACAUGCCCCCUCGCAGAAGACCCCUUUGGGCUCAAGGUGUGGACAAAUGCACAUGUUCAUGGUUCACCUAUGUGUGCUAAAAUUCAGGUUUGUAUUAAAUGAAUAGAAGCGGAAGCAUAUAUCACUUGCGAUAGAAGCGGAAGCAUAUAUCACUUGCGAUAGAAGCGGAAGCAUAUAUCACUUGCGAUAGAAGCGGAAGCAUAUAUCAC
rnacentral:lncRNA from 1 species